rnacentral:lncRNA from 1 species
GUUGAGCUUGACUCCAUCCUCAACCCGAAAAGGCCCCACAAGCUCAUCUUUGAUGAUACCAGCCCAAACCAGUACUCCACCUCCACCUUGCUGGCAUCUGAGUCGGACUGGAGCUCUCUGCCCUUUACCAAUCCAGCCACGGGCCCAUCAAGACUCACUCUCAUUUCAUCAGUCCAUAAAACCUUAGAAAAAUCAGUCUUGAGAUAUUUCUUGGCCCAGUCUUGACGUUUCAGCUUGUG